rnacentral:lncRNA from 1 species
UUUGAACUUCAUUCGUCCACAGCGGCAUUAAGUAGAGCAAUGCUUGGUCCACUCCAAAUAGUCCCAACAGUUGGGGCUUUCCCUGUUAUUUGGCCAGAUAAUAGGCUGAAAUAAACAACCACUGACUGCAAAUGAUAGACAAAUGAGUAAGCACAGUACCACCUUAAGGCUAGAACAAACAAAAAAAAAUAUUACUAUGAAGUAUGAUUUGUUAUUGCUCACCUCAUCUCUUAAUCAUUUGGUUGGAGGUUCGAUCUCCACGGAUGAAAAUAGAGAUCAUUUCAUGUCCAGCUGUUUAUGUAACACCCCUAAUUCGUAUUCGUCGCCGAAAUAGGGUUACGAAGUACUACAGGACAAUGGAAUAGUAAAUCAUUCAAAUCAUACAUUAAUACAAAUAUAAUCAAAUUUCAUUCAAAUACAUUCAUAAUGUUUCUUAAUCGAGCCCUCGAGGCCUUAAAAAUACUAUAGAAACAGUUCGGGAUUAAAUCAAAAAUUUUAGGAAAUUUUAGGAAAAAAAAAGCUGUAAAAAUUGGGCUGCAGGGGUCACACAGCCGUGUGCUAGGCCGUGUAACAGCCUGACUUGCAUGCCUUGAACCUACAGGGGACACACGGCUGUGUCGCAUGGCUGUGUGUGACACAUGGCUGAGACACAUGCCCGUGUCUCAAGCCCUGUGGCCUCAAAAUGAACCUUUAAACACAAGUUUACCAUUUUAAAUUGCUUGGACCUUAAGAAACUCAAAUACUAACCAAAAUACAAAAUCAAAAUGACAUUAAUCAGAUAAAAAACACAUCAAAACCAACCUAAUAUGUGCCUAACCAAUGACCCUCAUUGGUACCACAAUUAUGUACAACUUAAUCUCAAAAUACACAUUAAUUUAAUUCAUCAGCUCAUUCAAGUAAUAUCAAAUCAAAAUAUCAAACAAAGUUACUGCAACCACAACAAACCAAAUAUAUGUAAGCCACACAUACUAACAUAACAACUAUACCUCAUUCUCAUACCCUUUGCAAAUUGGUUAUUUGCACAAAAUAUCAUUCAUAACAUUUACAUAAGCCAAACAUUAACCAAAAUAGCACAAGAGCCUAUACAUGCCAUAUAAUCCGAAUUUAACAUUUCAAAAACUAACGAGAUAAAAUGGAUAAUGUGGCUUGAGUGCCAAUCCGGUCGUCCAACCUUCCUAAAAUCUACAAUGAUAUUAAACAACACAAGUAAGCUUAAUGAAGCUUAGUAAGUUCGGCAAGUUAAACAAAAAUCUUACUGAACUAACUAUAAUAAAUCAACUAAUAAAAAUCAUCCAAGACAACACUCUGUCAUUCACAACUUCAAUCGAUAAAUACAUCCAUAUUCAAAUCAAUACAAAAAUAAAUAACAUGUCUUUCAAAUUCAUUAAAUAAAUCACCUUACCGAGAUUUUUUCAUUCGAAGAACAACUUACGGGUAAGAGUAUAUCGUCAACAGAAGCUCAUAAGAGCUGGUCCUCCCAAAUACGCCAACAGAAU